rnacentral:rRNA from 1 species
GUGGGGAAUUUUGGACAAUGGGCGAAAGCCUGAUCCAGCAAUGCCGCGUGUGUGAAGAAGGCCUUCGGGUUGUAAAGCACUUUUGGCAGGGAAGAAACAGUGCGUGCUAAUACCAUGCGCGAAUGACGGUACCUGCAGAAUAAGCACCGGCUAACUACGUGCCAGCAGCCGCGGUAAUACGUAGGGUGCAAGCGUUAAUCGGAAUUACUGGGCGUAAAGCGUGCGCAGGCGGCUUUGUAAGACGGAUGUGAAAGCCCCGGGCUCAACCUGGGAAGUGCAUUCGUGACUGCAAGGCUAGAGUGUGGCAGAGGGAGGUGGAAUUCCGCGUGUAGCAGUGAAAUGCGUAGAGAUGCGGAGGAACACCGAUGGCGAAGGCAGCCUCCUGGGAUAACACUGACGCUCAGGCACGAAAGCGUGGGGAGCAAACAGGAUUAGAAACCCGAGUAGUCC